rnacentral:lncRNA from 14 species
CCCAGCCCCCCUGUCCCAGUCGCCGUCCCCCCUUCCCUUGGUGGCUCUCGCAGCCGGCUCCGCUCCCGGCUCGGCCGCUCUUCGCGGGAGCGCUCUGACAGCACCUGCAGGACAGCGCGGGCACUCGGAGCCGGGAAGGGGAAUAAGCAAGAAGACACGGUUUCAACAUCAAGAUACUGAAGCUUCAGCUGGAGUUCUACUGCUGUUCGUACAAAGAUUCAAGAGAAUAUCCUAGAGAAAGCAAAGUUUUACUCCUUUUUAUACAAUUUUUUUGUGAUAUAUUUAUGUGUGUGAGCUCUGUAUGAGCAAAUAUAUACAUGUUCCCAUAAUGAAUCUGCUGUGGACCCUACUGUUGAUUCAGAAAGGCCAUGGGAAUUGUCCCCACAUGCUGCAAACUCAGCCACCCUCCCGUGGGCUGCCCGGGGCGCUGGGGCAGCACCCAAGGCACCUCGGAGGUCUUGGUGGGUUACAGGUGAUCCCAUGUACAAGGGGAAAAAAAGGAAACUAUCACUUGUUCAGAAGACUGUGCACAGGAUUUAUGAUAAUAAUCCAGACAAGACUUGCAUGUUUUCUGCUCCAUUCUUUGGGUCAAGAACACACUGGUUAA